rnacentral:rRNA from 1 species
UACGUAGGUGGCAAGCGUUGUCCGGAUUUAUUGGGUUUAAAGGGUGCGUAGGCGGCUUUGUAAGUCAGUGGUGAAAUAUGGCAGCUUAACUGUCAAGGUGCCAUUGAUACUGCGGAGCUUGAGUACAGAUGAGGUAGGCGGAAUUGACGGUGUAGCGGUGAAAUGCUUAGAUAUCGUCAAGAACACCGAUAGCGAAGGCAGCUUACUAAGCUCAAACUGACACUGAUGCACGAAAGUGUGGGGAUCAAACAGG